CGCUGGGAACUACGUCAUAACGCAACGGCAAACGCAUCGUUCUGCGGUAAACAUUUUGAAAUGCCAGUUAAAAUCAGCAGUGGCGAUUAAAAUGUUGCGUUCAAUUAGGAAAUUGACAAAAACACCAUUGUUUUGUUCAAUGUUUUACAAAAGAAUCUAAAUCUAAUUUGGACAUAACACAAAGUGGAGAAGAAGAAGAACGAAGCGGCGAAGAAGAGAAGAAAAAAAUCCAGAUUCGAUUUCUCUGCUUCUCUACUCUCAUCUCUGUUAUUUUGGUAAGCUAUUAUUCUCCAUAUUCUUUUAUAAUUAUCUCAAUCUAUGUUUUAGCAUGGAUUGUGAUUAGUUGAUUGUGUUGUUUUGAUGGAUUUGAGAUUAGUUGAUUGUAUUGCUUGUGUGGCUACAAACCUCGGAUUUUAUAUAUGAAAUAUGUUCUGAACACUAGACAACAAGAUCUUUCCUUUGAUGUAAAGAUAGACUUUUGGUUCCAUUUGGUUUGAUAGGAAAUUUCUUUCAACUUUGAUUGUUUGUGGGAUUGUAUAUGGUUAUUUUCUUCAGCUAAAAUAUAUUCUCGGAAUUUCUUCAAGCAGGAUUGGACCGGACUCUGACAUACGGGCCUUUUAAGCCAUUUUUGGGUUAUGUUGUAGGUUACAAAUUAUUACUCUAGCCAUGUGGUUCGUAUCAACUCUUCCUCCAAACUGAUUAAGUAUAUCUUAUAGACAUUUUACAAAUGUUGGAAGGGAUACCUUAGUUUGGCUCAUUAUUGGUAUCCUCCUAUCUUGGUUCGUUAUGCUCAUUGCGUGUAAUACAAAGUUUUUUGUUUGGUCAUUUGGUUAACCAAAUGCUAUGUAGCUAGGUAUGUAUAUAUAUACCAAAAAAGCUAGUUGAAAUGUGAUUUGUAUUUGGUAGCCAACGAUUAAGGUUAUAGAAAGCUAUUGGCUGCAACCACGAGUGAUGAAAGAGUUUGUCGUACAAGUGUAA
rnacentral:lncRNA from 1 species